CACUGCCGAGAAAAGCCUCUAGCUAGAAUAACGGUGCCCGUACCGCAAACCGACACAGGUAGUCAAGAUGAGAAUUCUAAGGUGAGCGAGCGAACUCUCGUUAAGGAACUCGGCAAAAUGACCCCGUAACUUCGGGAGAAGGGGUGCUCUUUGAGGUUCACGCUUCGAAGAGCCGCAGUGAAUAGGCCCAAGCGACUGUUUAUCAAAAACACAGGUCUCUGCUAAACCGUAAGGUGACGUAUAGGGGCUGACGCCUGCCCGGUGCUGGAAGGUUAAGAGGAGUGGUUAGCGCAAGCGAAGCUACGAAUCGAAGCCCCAGUAAACGGCGGCCGUAACUAUAACGGUCCUAAGGUAGCGAAAUUCCUUGUCGGGUAAGUUCCGACCCGCACGAAAGGCGUAACGAUUUGGGCACUGUCUCAACGAGAGACUCGGUGAAAUCAUAGUACCGGUGAAGAUGCCGGUUACCCGCGACAGGACGGAAAGACCCCGUGGAGCUUUACUGUAGCCUGAUAUUGAAAUUCGGUACAGUUUGUACAGGAUAGGUAGGAGCCUUAGAAGCGUGAGCGCUAGCUUACGUGGAGGCAUUGGUGGGAUACUACCCUAAUUGUAUUGGAUUUCUAACCCGCAGCACUUAUCGUGCUGGGAGACAGUGUCAGGCGGGCAGUUUGACUGGGGCGGUCGCCUCCUAAAGAGUAACGGAGGCGCUCAAAGGUUCCCUCAGAAUGGUUGGAAAUCAUUCAUAGAGUGUAAAGGCAUAAGGGAGCUUGACUGCGAGACCUACAAGUCGAGCAGGGUCGAAAGACGGACUUAGUGAUCCGGUGGUUCCGCAUGGAAGGGCCAUCGCUCAACGGAUAAAAGCUACCCCGGGGAUAACAGGCUUAUCUCCCCCAAGAGUUCACAUCGACGGGGAGGUUUGGCACCUCGAUGUCGGCUCAUCGCAUCCUGGGGCUGUAGUCGGUCCCAAGGGUUGGGCUGUUCGCCCAUUAAAGCGGUACGCGAGCUGGGUUCAGAACGUCGUGAGACAGUUCGGUCCCUAUCCGUCGUGGGCGUAGGAAAUUUGAGAGGAGCUGUCCUUAGUACGAGAGGACCGGGAUGGACAUACCUCUGGUGUACCAGUUGUCGUGCCAACGGCAUAGCUGGGU
rnacentral:rRNA from 1 species